CCCUUAGAUGUUCUGGGCCGCACGCGUGCUACACUGACCGGCGCAACAAGUUUCUUUCCUUGGCUCGAUAGGCCUGGGUAAUCUUUGAACGCCGGUCGUGAUGGGGAUAGAUCCUUGCAAUUUUUGAUCUUCAACGAGGAAUUCCUAGUAAAUGCGAGUCAUCAUCUCGCGUUGAUUACGUCCCUGCCCUUUGUACACACCGCCCGUCGCACCUACCGAUUGAAUGGCCCGGUGAAGCCUCGGGAUUGCGAAUGCUUCGUGCGGACGCGAGAACUUGGCUAAACCUUACCAUUUAGAGGAAGGUGAAGUCGUAACA
rnacentral:rRNA from 1 species